rnacentral:rRNA from 1 species
CCCUUAGAUGUUCUGGGCCGCACGCGCGUUACACUGAUGCAUUCAACGAGCUUAUAACCUUGGCCGAGAGGCCUGGGCAAUCUUGUUAACGUGCAUCGUGAUAGGAAUAGAUUAUUGAAAUUAUUAAUCUUGAACGAGGAAUUCCUAGUAAACGCAGAUCAUCAAUCUGCAUUGAUUACGUCCCUGCCCUUUGUACACACCGCCCGUCGCACCUACCGAUUGGAUGGUCCGGUGAAGCCUCGGGAUUGUGGUUCUUGCCGCUUUAUUGUGGCGUGACCGCGAGAACUUGUCUAAACCUUAUCAUCUAGAGGAAGGUGAAGUCGUAACA